UUGAGUAGCUAGACCCCUUUUUUUCUUUUUGGGUAGCUUAGGCGGCUUUUUAUUUAAAUUUUUAAUCCUUGCAGCUUCAAUGUUCACAGUGCUGGAACAUGAAGCCAGCGCAGAGCCCUGUGAGAAGCUGACGAGACAUGGCCCACGUACACAACGGCAUCUUACUCACCCUGUCCUUUUCAAAGGUGUGGCCACGUGCACCAAGACUUCAGUGGAAAAGCCGUGCAGGGUUCUGUCAUCCUGGUGGCAUUUCUGUCAAGGGCCUAGAGGCAGGCUGAAGAAGGCAGGUCUGGAUCUGGCUUCUGUCUGUGACUUCUGGCUAUCCCUGCUCCCUGUUCUGGGAGCCAUCUCCUUCCAAGGCAGAUCUCCUUGACAAUUCUAC
rnacentral:lncRNA from 1 species